GCCGGGGUGGCGGAAUUGGUAGACGCGCCGGAUUCAAAAUCCGGUGAGGGUUUCCUCGUGUCGGUUCGAGCCCGACCCUCGGUA
rnacentral:tRNA from 1 species